GUGAACACGGAGCUUGCUCUGUGGGAUCAGUGGCGAACGGGUGAGUAACACGUGAGCAACCUGCCCCUGACUCUGGGAUAAGCGCUGGAAACGGCGUCUAAUACUGGAUAUGUGACGUGACCGCAUGGUCUGCGUCUGGAAAGAUUUUUCGGUUGGGGAUGGGCUCGCGGCCUAUCAGCUUGUUGGUGAGGUAAUGGCUCACCAAGGCGUCGACGGGUAGCCGGCCUGAGAGGGUGACCGGCCACACUGGGACUGAGACACGGCCCAGACUCCUACGGGAGGCAGCAGUGGGGAAUAUUGCACAAUGGGCGCAAGCCUGAUGCAGCAACGCCGCGUGAGGGAUGACGGCCUUCGGGUUGUAAACCUCUUUUAGCAGGGAAGAAGCGAAAGUGACGGUACCUGCAGAAAAAGCGCCGGCUAACUACGUGCCAGCAGCCGCGGUAAUACGUAGGGCGCAAGCGUUAUCCGGAAUUAUUGGGCGUAAAGAGCUCGUAGGCGGUUUGUCGCGUCUGCUGUG
rnacentral:rRNA from 1 species